CCAGCUGAUGCUAAAAUCUUGAAUUUUCAUUUAGCUAUAAAUAUCUUAAUAUCAAAAAAUGUUAAUGGCAUUAAAUGACUUGGUGAUUGCCUCCCAAACUAAAUUUUUCUUGUGAAGGCUAGCUGGGUUUGUUGAGCAGUCUUGCAAGUCUUUAUUCUCUUUCACAAGAUAGAGAAUCAUUAUUUUCUGCUCGUGCGUGAGUGGCGGGGCCCGGUCACAGCUUCUUCCCUCCAUUCUUGCAGCACGCACUGUGGUUUUGUUGUCAUUCGUGGAACUCAAAUCCAGAUUACAGUCAUACCAAUACCGAAACAACUGUUACCAACUCAUGCUAGCGGCAGACCUCUCGCGGCCCUACCUUCCACGGCGACUCUUGGUACGGAUUGAAGAUCAUGGAUCCACUGGUAGACCUUCCAGGAAUUUGAUCUGUUCGAGGAAUUAGAAGCAGUAAGGAUGAGGCUGCCAAGAAGAAUAGUGAAAGACCAUUUGGAUUUGUUCCUAACCCUGACUGAAGAGGAGUUCACCUCCAGGUUCAGGCCAUGCAAACAGGCUGUGAGAUCCCUGCUCACUCAGCUAUACAUUUACCAGAGGCCAAUGAUUCAAGAGAGAGGCGCAGGGUAACGUUAACACGUACCAUCCCUUCCCCCUUGAUGCGGGCUUUUCACGGAAAGGUUGGUACAUCGGAAGGUGUAUAGUGCGCUUCGCGUUCUUCACUCCAGCACACUGUGUUUACAUUUGAGAGCAGACACGCAGACCACUACUAGAAUUAUCGUCUCAAUAAUUCACCAGGGUGUCCUGUGCCACCUCACCUCCAACUCCUCAUCACCUUAAGAUGGAUGGCAACGGGUGAUUUGUAGCUUACAAUCGGUUAUGCUUUUGAAGUUUCGCAGCAGUUUGUAAGCGCAUGCUUUUCACGUACUGUACAUGCCAUUGCUACUUUAUGUGAGCAGUAUGUACAAUUUCCUGAUUGGCAUCACCUGAGGUCUGUCAAAGAAAACUUUAAUGCCAUAGCAGGUUUCUCUUCUGUAAUUGGUGCUAUAGCCUGCACCCACAUUCCAAUUAUGGGUCCAGGUGAUCCUCAGGCAGAGCAAUUUAGGUGCAGAAAGGCAAUCUUUUCAUUAAAUGUACAAGCUGUGUGUGGUUCGGACUUGAAUUUGUAUAACAUAGUUUGUCGCUGGCUUGGAUCAGUGCAUGACAGCAGAACAUUUAGGAAUAGUGCCCAGUAUGCUCAACUACAAGGUGGUGGUUAUGAUGGCCACCUGUUAAGGGACUCUACAUACCCAUUUUGCCCUUUCUAAUGACUCCAAUUCCGAUUCCCAGACAACAAAAUGAGUUUAGAUACAAUUUAGCUCAUGCAAAAACCCGUAAUUCCAUAGAAAGAGCAUUUGGAGUUUUGAAACGCAGAUUCUGUUGCUUGUCCAUUCCUAUGCGGACAAAUAUGGAUAAAACCACAGCCACAGUUUGUAGUGCAGCAGUUUUGCACAAUCUUGGAAUUAAUUUUAGGGAUGGAUAUGAAAAUUUGGAGGACAAUGAUGAUGGUGAUGAUGGUUGUAUAGAGAAUGAAUAUGAAGAUGUAAUUCAUGAUGUGCAAAAUAGGCAGGCUGGACAAAGAAAGAGGGCUAACAUAAUCAGUAGUGUCUUUUGAGAUUAUAAAUUUAGAUUUGAGAUCUAUAAUUUUAAAGUUGAAAAAGUAAGUUUUCAAGAAAUGGCCCAUAAAGAUUUCUCCCAUUGCUGUGAAAAUGUAUCUCACUGGAGUGAAGAUAUUUUAAUUUAAUUUUUUUUUUUUCAGGACGUGAAAGCACAUCUGUUAUAGUUUUGCAAUAUUAGUAGUGUAAU
rnacentral:lncRNA from 1 species